GCCAGGCGUGGUGGCGCACGCCUGUAAUCCCAGCUACUUGGGAGGCUGAGGCAGAAGAAUUGCUUGAAUCCAGGAGGCAGAGGUUGCAGUGAGCUGAGGUUGUGCCACUGCACUCCAGCCUGGAUGACAGAGCAAGACCCCGUCUCAA
rnacentral:sRNA from 1 species